rnacentral:tmRNA from 1 species
GGGGGCGUCACGGUUUCGACGGGGACAUUUGAAGUUGUAGAAGCGUGCCGAGGUUCCUACAGGCCUCGUUAAACAGGUAGGAAACAUAUAAUCGCA